AGAUAGAAAGUUACUUCGGUACAUCGGUGACAGGUGGUGCAUGGUUGUCGUCAGCUCGUGUCGUGAGAUGUUGGGUUAACGUCCCGCAACGAGCGCAACCCCUAUUGUUAGUUGCCAUCAUUCAGUUGGGCACUCUAGCGAGACUGGCCGGUAAUAAACCCGGAGGAAGGUGGGGAUGACGUCAAGUCCUCAUGGCCCUUAUGGGUAGGGCUUCACACGUCAUACAAUGGUCGGUACAGAGGGUUGCCAACCCGCGAGGGGGAGCUAAUCCCACAAAGCCGAUCGUAGUCCGGAUCGCAGUCUGCAACUCGACUGCGUGAAGUCGGAAUCGCUAGUAAUCGUGGAUCAGCAUGUCACGGUGAAUACGUUCCCGGGUCUU
rnacentral:rRNA from 1 species